rnacentral:rRNA from 1 species
GCUUAUAUUAGCUUAUUAAUGCUUCUGGUCAGAUCUCAGAAGCUCAGCAGGGUUGGAUCUAGUUAGCAUUCAGAUGGGAGACCAUUGGGAAUACCAGGUGCU